AAUCCCGUGAACCAUCGAGUCUUUGAACGCAAGUUGCGCCCGAAGCCUUCGGGCCGAGGGCACGCCUGCCUGGGCGUCACGCAUCGCGUCGCCCCUUCCCCCCGCGUCCCCGGAGCGGGGGGUCGGAGACUGGCCUCCCGUGCGCUCCUGCCGCGCGGCCGGCCC
rnacentral:rRNA from 1 species